rnacentral:misc_RNA from 1 species
CUGCCUGCAGCAGUGUCUUGAAGUCGCUGUACGGCAGGUCGUUCACGCGCCCCGACGCCAGGAAAUCCUGCAGCGUUGCCACGGCCAGGAAGGCGAUGACGACGAACCAGAUCGAAAACUGGUGCCUUUUCUCCAUACCUCCACGCCUGCACGGGUUUCGUGUCAGUUUUUCCGAUCGGCGUUCGACGGUGCGCGAUCGGCGGCGAGUGUGUUCUCCUGGCCCUUGAUGGCCUGCUGGUCGCGGUACACGCUUUCUGCGUCUGCCGAUUCGGCCGCCAUUGUUCCGGC